rnacentral:ncRNA from 2 species
CAUUGUUCUCAGGGCGGGGUGAAACUCCCCACCGGCGGUAAUGGCGGCAACGCCUAGCCCGCGAGCGAUCUCCCGCCUGGGAGAGGUCAGCAGAUUUGGGUGCGAUUCCCGAGCCGACGGUCACAGUCCGGAUGAAAGAGAACGGGU